rnacentral:lncRNA from 1 species
AAGGUAAGAAUAUAUAUAUUUAUCUUAGAUCUAAAAUCAAUAAUCGAGCACUCAAAUCAAAGAUUAAUGCCAUCAAUCAUAAUUUGGACCUUAUUACCCAGUGAGGAUGCCAGGACUUAAAAAGAGAAAUAUGUGAGAACCCUAUGUGAGUUUGUGUUUAGUCCUGUACUGGUUAUAACUUGAUAGAUCUUGGAUGUUCAUACAUGGCUAA